AUAUGCUUGUCUCAAAGAUUAAGCCAUGCAUGUCUAAGUAUAAGCAAUCUAUACGGUGAAACUGCGAAUGGCUCAUUAAAUCAGUUAUCGUUUAUUUGAUUGUACUUUUACUACAUGGAUACCUGUGGUAAUUCUAGAGCUAAUACAUGCGAAAAAUCCUCACUUCUGGAAGGGAUGUAUUUAUUAGAUUAAAAACCAAUGCGAAUCUUCGGGUUCGUUUUCUUGGUGAUUCAUGAUAACUUUUCGAAUCGCAUGGCCUCGCGCCGGCGAUAUUUCAUUCAAAUUUCUGCCCUAUCAACUGUCGAUGGUAAGGUAGUGGCUUACCAUGGUUAUAACGGGUGACGGAGAAUUAGGGUUCGAUUCCGGAGAGGGAGCCUGAGAAACGGCUACCACAUCUAAGGAAGGCAGCAGGCUCGAAAAUUACCCAAUCCCGACUCGGGGAGGUAGUGACAAGAAAUAACGAUACGGGGUCUUAAUAGGUCUCGCAAUUGGAAUGAGUACAAUUUAAAUCCUUUAACGAGGAUCAAUUGGAGGGCAAGUCUGGUGCCAGCAGCCGCGGUAAUUCCAGCUCCAAUAGCGUAUAUUAAAGUUGUUGCAGUUAAAAAGCUCGUAGUUGGAUUUCGGAGUGGGCCAGUUGGUCCGCCGCAAGGUGUGUUACUGACUGGUUUGCUCUUCUUCGCAUAGACUGCGUGUGCUCUUUAUUGAGUGUGCGUAGGACAUGCGACGUUUACUUUGAAAAAAUUAGAGUGUUCAAAGCAGGCUAUUGCUUGAAUACAUGAGCAUGGAAUAAUGGAAUAGGACUUUGGUCCCAUUUUGUUGGUUUCUAGGACCGAAGUAAUGAUUAAGAGGGACAAUUGGGGGCAUCCGUAUUUCGUUGUCAGAGGUGAAAUUCUUGGAUUUACGAAAGACGAACAACUGCGAAAGCACUUGCCAAGAGUGUUUUCAUUAAUCAAGAACGAAAGUUAGAGGAUCGAAGACGAUCAGAUACCGUCCUAGUUCUAACCAUAAACGAUGUCGACUAGGGAUCAGCGGGCGUUAUCGUACGACCCCGUUGGCACCUUACGGGAAACCAAAGUUUCUGGAUUCCGGGGGAAGUAUAGUCGCAAGUCCGAAACUUAAAGGAAUUGACGGAAGGGCACCACCAGGAGUGGAGCC
rnacentral:rRNA from 1 species